rnacentral:rRNA from 1 species
AGGACGAACGCUGGCGGCGCGCUUAACACAUGCAAGUCGAGCGAGAACCGAAGCCUUAGGGCAUCGGGGAAAGCGGCGAACGGGUGAGUAACACGUGGGCAACCCACCCUUGGUACCGGGAUAGCCCGGGGGAAACCCGGAUUAAUACCGGAUGGCCCAGCAGCCUUUCGGGGCGGCUGGAAAAGGGAGCUUCGGCCUCCGACCAAGGACGGGCCCGCGGCGGAUUAGCUUGUUGGUGGGGUAACGGCCUACCAAGGCGACGAUCCGUAGCUGGUCUGAGAGGACGAUCAGCCACACUGGGACUGAGACACGGCCCAGACUCCUACGGGAGGCAGCAGUGGGGAAUCUUGCGCAAUGGGCGAAAGCCUGACGCAGCAACGCCGCGUGGAGGACGAAGGCUUUCUGAGUUGUAAACUCCUUUCAGCAGGGACGAUUGUGACGGUACCUGCAGAAGAGCACCGGCAACUACGUGCCAGCAGCCGC